GUAGACUGUUUCAUCAUCCAAAAACAUUGUUCCGAUAAAUAUUUAUCUUUACCGGUAUGUUAAUUUUACCGGUACACUUUUAAAAAGUGUUCCGGUAUGAAAUUUUUCUAAAAUUUAUUUCGAUUACCGGAACACUUUGGAAAAAGUAGGGAGGUAAUACAAGAAACUUGACAUAUAGCUACGGCAAAACUGUUGGUAAUCCUAGUUUCUCACGCUGGACCUCCUCCUGCAACUGCCGAAUUCAGACUCAUCAAACAAGGCGCCAAAGAUGUUGCCACUCGUCUUCUAAGCGAUGCUACUCCCUCCGAUAAUUGUUCUCGAUUGCUCCCCUUACAAUUUUACUGGUGUCAGGCAAGAUUCCACUGAUUAGGGUUCAAGCAAGAAGAUUGAAAUCUCUAAUCGGAGAUGGGUGUCAUAAUCAAGUACCUUCAGUUACAACCUGGUGCUAAAAUCCAAGUCAAUCGUGGUAUGGGUGCUACCCUAAUUUUCCUAAUAGAUUUGUGGCUCUCUUAAUUGUGGUUAGGUUAAGAUUCCUAUGAAUUAGUAUGGAUUUCAAAUUCAGGCUAACUUGAAGGAUUUUUUUUGUGUGGAUGUGAUCAUUGCAAGGUGAAGUGGGUUUAUUUUUUUAAUGAAACAAAGUUUCUUUUGGGAUUUUUGUUGUGUUUUUUUGUGUGUUUUUAACCUGUUGAAACUCUAGGUAAUGAAAUUGUUACUCGAAGAAUGACCGGGUAAAGUGGCUUUGAUGAGUUUCGAUGAAGAUCCCAAAUGACAAGAAGGGUAAAGGAGUUAUGUAAACCACUUAUUUGGUUGUUUGAGUUCUCUUGGACUACAUUCAUUGUUUGUUCUUUUACACUGAAUAUUCAGUUGAUAAUUUGCAGUGAAUAACUCCUUUAGAAAGUCAUGAUUUUUUAAUCUUGAUGAUUUUAAUGUUAAUCAAUCUCACUUGUACAAUCAACGUUUUUUUUACCAUUUUAAAGUUGGUAUUUGUUGAAUUGGUAACCAUUUUAAACCUGCUACAAUUUGUCAAAGGGAGCUUGUCUACUUUAAUCGUAUCAUAUAACAAAAAACAUCAAGCACUAGAGAAGGUAUUUGUUGUGAAUAAGUGCCACCUUAAAUUACCAUAUGUAUAGGUACGGAUCAAGGGAGACUAACGAAAUUUUAGUUGUGUAAAUCCAGAAGAUUUUUUUCUUUUUUUUAUAUUAUCAUGUUUCAUUGUUGCUACAUGCUGGUUGGUUGGUAGCCAGUGUUGCAAUCAAAUUUAACAGCACGCAAAUAUUUUUAGCUUUAGAUUACAUGGACUCCCAAGAAUCAAUUGUAACUAAUAGGAACAGAUUAUUUCUCAGUUAGUUUAGGUCAGAACUGUUCAAGCAAGCAAAGUCAGAUAAGAAGCGCAGAGAGCUGCAAUUUUACUGAGAGCCUGGGUUUGCUUCAGGCCGAACCAUACAGGCUGUGAUCAUUUGCACAAAGAAGGAAUGAGAAGUUGGGCCCUAGAUAUUAUGGCCCUUCCCAAAUCCUAGACAGGGUGGGAAAAGUAGCUUACAAGUUGCAGCUGCCACCAGGUUUCUAAUAAGUAGCAGGUUUUGAUCCAAACAGGUUGAUGAAUUGGUAACCAUCACCAGGUUCUCUUAAUACUUCAGUUAUGGUUAAUGUUUAAUGUUCACUUAAGAUGUGUAUAAUGUCAAUUUGUGUGCCAUUGUAAAAUUUUCCUUCCUUUUGGCUAAGUUGAGUUUCCAACUUGUAUUCUUUUAUUUUCAAUAGGUUCUAGAUGUUUCUGGUCCCUGAGCAAACCAAUUUUCUAAGUCCAGACUAUUGAAGAUGGAAGAGGAAUGGAGAUUAGAGACUUUUUUCUUUUUCUUGACAGAACAAAUUUGUAAAUUUAGUGGAUAUCAUUUUAUGUCUUUAAAUACAUUAUAUCACUCUUAGCUUGAUAUUUAUAACUAUAUGUAAUUUGACAUACUUGUAAGACUAGUUAGUUCUUAAAUAUAAUUUAAAGUUUUAUUUUA